ensembl:lncRNA
CUGCUUACCAGACCUGUGUAUCGAUGUUUGUCUUGUUUAUGUCUUCAUGACUCUCAGGAUUUGAGAUGAUUCUUCUGCAAUUGAAGGUAAGGUGGGAUGCUAACAACCUAUACUGACGUGAGGUGUUUUUUUUUUUUAACAAUUCUGCAUUCAUAGAAUCCCGGAAUCAUAGAAUGGCCUGGGUUGAAAAGGACCACAAUGAUCAUCGAGUUUCAACCCCCCUGCUAUGUGCAGGGUUGCCAACCACCACACCAGGCUGCCCAGAGCCACAUCCAGCCUGGCCUUGAAUGCCUCCAGGGAUGGGGCAUCCACAACCUCCUUGGGCAACCUGUUCCAGUGCGUCACCACCCUCUGUGUGAAAAACUUCUUCCUAACAUCUAACCUAAACCUCCCCUGUCCCAGUUUAAAACUAUUCCCCCUUGUCCUAUCACUGUCCACCCUUGUAAACAGCUGUUCCCCCUUCCUGUUUAUACACUCCCUUCAAGUACUGGAAAGCCACAGUACGGUCUCCCCGGAGCCUUCUCUUCUCCAAGCUAAACGAGCCCAGUUCCCUCAACCUUUCCUCAUAGGAGAGGUGCUCCAGCCCUCUGAUCAUCUUAGUUAUUGCAUUCUUUGCAAUCACUUGCAGCCUGGGACUGCUUUCUGGCUCUGAAUUAUUAGAUACCCUUUACUACUUUUUUCUUGUUGUGACAUCUUCCUGCCAUACAAUUCAUAUGACAACUGCCAUUUAGUGUGUAUAUAUAGGGAAGGGUUGUUUAUUUUAGUACCAAUUGUCACACCUGUUAUAAACAUACUACUGCUACAUAUUCCAGUUGCCAAAUAUAUAAUAACAACUGCAGUACUCUUUAAAACUGACUUAAGACUGAGAUGGAAAGUGGCUGCAGUGUACUUGCUUUCAGUGAUGUCUGGGCUGGAGUUAUUUGGAGCUGCAGUGGUUGAUUACUGUUUGCGAGGAGGGUAAGAAUAUUAAAAGUUAAUGGCCAGCCUUGGAAUAACAGAUAUCUGAUACUGUUGGGCUUUCCUAGUGGUGAAGAAAGAUAAUUUGGGUACAGGAACGGGAGUCGGUUUGUAUUAGAUUUAACUUACAAGAAAAUGCUACGAUGAAAAUCUCCUUUUUAUUUGGUUUGAUGUAUUUCUGCAGUUCUUAAAAUAAUUGUGGCAAAUGGAGCGAUGUUUGAAGUGUAUAAAAAUGGAAAGCUUUCAUUCCAUCUCUGAGAAGCGUGCCAAGUGAUGAAAAUUAAGGUAAAAAGGAAUUUGUGGAAGAAAUGAAGAGCAUAGACUUCUCUGGAAUGUGAGAGGUAUGGAAAUUUGCUUUGUGCUAUAAGAAGGAACAACAGGUGAUUCAUGGCCUAAUAGGAAAAGCAGGCAUAUGUGGAUUUUCACUAUUUAUAUGGCUGGAAAUAGUUGAAAUCUGAGAAGGAGAGACAGCUGCUGCACAGCAGAAGUACCAAAAUAGCAGUGUGCCAAAAUUUUACUAAGAAUCUUGAAAUGUUGAUGGUUUGCUUUUGAAGACUCACAAAUAGGGUACAGUGAAUAUGAAAUUGUACUAGAAAACAAUACCUUUUGGUGAGUUGUAGGAUCACCUGGACUGGAGAGAAGUGGAGGACUGGGCAGAAGAGGAGGAAAUAUGGAUGUUUGUUAGGGAAAACUGAACAGUGAGAACAUGCAAGCUGGGUGAAGGGAUAGGCUCAAGAGUGGUGUGAUCCAUGGCGUGAAGGCCACCCAGAGGCAGGCGUGUUGGUGUUCCUGCAAUAUUCAGGAAUUUCCUUCUGGGGCUGCAUUUGGCUUGAGGACUACAGCUGCUGCACACAGCAAACCAGGGUGACCAGCAGAUGUCAGCUCUUUGGUUCGGUGCAGGUUUUUUUUAAUAUACUGGUAUUUUGAAACACUCCGCUUUUAAAGCUCUGUGUUAAUGUUCAUAGGGAUAUUAAUGAUUUUGAAAGCUUUAUGAAAGAUGAGUGCAUCUGUGUCCUGCUUAACUAUCAGAUGCAGAAAACCACAGCCCACAGUGACUGGUCCAGAAACAGAAGGGGUGAGAAGGUAACCAGAUGUCUGGUACAUGAAUUUGCUUUGGCUUUGUUUUAAUAGAAUUCAUGCUGCAGAAAGGAUGCUUGAAUUCUGCACAUCUUUUAUGUCAAUAAGGGCAGUUUGUCUUCCACCUACCUUAGAUUUGAUUCUUAAGUGUGAAAGGCUAACGUUUGCCAGCAGCUCGGUAUUUGCUUCCACACAGAUACUGUAUAGUGCGCAGUUUGUCUUAUACCGACUUACAUAUCCUUAAGAUGCAGUAUGUGGGAUGAGUCAUAAGCAAACGGCAACACCCUUCAUUUGGUGGGGAUGGGAUCUUUUUAGUGCUGCUUUAGUACAAGUGAAUCAACUCCUGCACUUUCUGUAAUGUCACUGACUGCAAGAAUCAUUACUGGAGUAAAUCAUGACACCUUAAUCUUGCAAAGGUCAGCGUUUCCAUUUUGUACAGCCAAGGAAAACAAGCGUAAUAUAUGAAUUCUUGCUAGUGCAACUUCAUUGUGCCAAGGAGGUUUAGAUCAGACAUAAGGAAGGAUUUUUUUCAUGGAGAGGGUGGCCAAGCACUGGAAUUGGCUGCCCAGGGAAGUGGUGGAGUCCCCAUCCCCAGAGGUAUUUAAGAGAUGAGUGCACGUGGCACCAAGGGAUGUGAUUUAGUGAUGGGACUUGGUAGGUCAGGUGGACGGUUGGGCUUGGUGAUCUUGAAGGUCUUUUUCAACUGAGAUAAUUCUAUGAUUCUGUGAUUCUUUUCUAUGAAUUCAGUAUGGUUUUUUUUUCAUUUUCUUGAGCUUCAUUUGAGCCCAUAAGCAAAUAAUUGCAGUGUUACACCUGAAACUUUUGGGCUAGGCAGAAUAUGUUCGUUUUUUUCUCUCUGGUGAGAAGAGAGUUUGUGGGGAAGCACAGAGAGGGCACAACUGUUCUGUAUGAAGAAAACUACAGGGGAAGCCAAAUCAAGUAGAUGAUGGAGACCCAACUUGGAAUAGCAAAUGCUGUUUGGCAAUACUGUAGCAUUCAUGUUAGAGUUUAAAAAAAAAAAAAAGUGAACUGCGUGCUCUUAUAGGUCUGCUCACUAUUUAUUGGCCUCUGCUUGGUUAUUCUGAAGAGAAAGUGCUUUUAGCUUUUGUUAUGUAGACUCAUUAAGGACUUCUGCUGUCCUGUGUGAUGUGCCUAAGUGCACCCUAACAAAAUCUUGAGUACUUUGGCUGAAUAAAUGAAAGCUUUCUUUUUUUCCACCUCUAGAGAGCUCCCUCGAGCUGCUUCUGUGGAGCAGCCUCGGUAAAACUUUCAGUCCCUACUGAGUGAUUAAGGUUUGAACUUAAACGUUUGAUCCUUUAAUUAUUGCAUUCUGUAGCCUUAUACUACCAAGGAAAUACUUAAUAUUGCACAUGAUUACAAUGCUUUGCUUCCCCAUGCUCUUCUGAGAGGAACAUUUUGCUGCACGCAUUCACUCACUGGUAAGCUGGAAGAGAAGGCACAGACGCAUCCUGACAGCUGAACGGAAUUCCAGUGGACUCACAAUUGCUACCUAGAAAUUCAUAUGUAUCUGAAAUUAAAAAUAUAGGAUUCCAGAACUGGAUUUAUCUAUCCUGUCUAUUAUUUCAGUUGAUUUCAGGCUUGCCUUUUCUUUCCAGUCUCAUCAGGAGGAAAUCGCAGUUGCUGUGGACAGGACUACACAGAGAAAAGAAAGAAGACCCUGGCCCUUCAGAAUGAUGCAUCUGCAACUGCAUCAUACAGAAAUUUACAGCCAUCUUCAAACACCGCCCAGCUUGCCUGCUGGGGCAUCUAUUUCAGUGCCGAAUAGAUGGUCAUUGCCAUAACAUCCAACACUGUGAUUGCUGCUGUGAUGGCCACUAUUAGUGCAAAUGGCAGUUUCAGGCCCAUUACACUGAGUGCAUUCAGGAGGGCCCAAAACCUGUGGAAAAUGUAUAAUUAAACUAUUUGGGAACACUUAGGCCAACUGAUACCAGAAUGAAUUAUGGUAUAUGCAGCUUGUUGUUCUUCUAAUGAGUAAUACAGUUACUGCUAUAAAGUAGCUGUUUUGAAUAAUUGUCUAAUUUUCAAAUGGAAAAAUAUAUUGAGAUAAUUACUUAAGUAGAGUCUAAAAAUAAAUUCUAAGUUCAUUAAGAAACAGCUUUAAAUUUGCUAAAUACUUUAGCUGGCCUUAUUAAAAUACAUUGCUUCAGAAAGUGAGAAAUUAUUCUUUUGUGGUGAGAUGAGAAAAGUAGCUUUAAUAACAAAAGUAUGUUUUAAAUUUAAAUAUGUAAGCAUUUCAAACCUUACAGCUUCAAAAGUGAAAAAGAUGAAUGGAUCAAACCCUGUCCCCAUUUCAGUUAAAGACAGUCUUGCCACUUAUUUCAGUCAAGUACGGGUGACACUCGAAGUGGUGAAUCUAACCUAUAAUUUCCCCACUGCUCUGUUUUACUGGGAGAUAAUACAUUUACCUCAUUCAGGCCUUUGUAUCUCUCAUUAGCUCUCAUCCAGGAACCCCAAGGAGUUUAAUGGUGGAACCUGAACAAUCAUGCAAAAUCCACUUCUGCUUAUAAUACCCAUGUAGGGAUGUCACCCCUCUCAAACUCUUUCCUAGUGAAACAAACCAGUGAGAUUCAAGACCUGAAAAGAAGAUUAUUGUAGCUUUUACAAAAAUCUUUACAAGUGGGUCAGUUACUUUACAGCUCUAAUAGUAUUCUUUUUUUCUUUCUCAUGUAAUUAUUAACCCAGUAGCAUAUUUUGAUUUAAGUUAAUCUUUGCUUUUGUAUAGCGUUAUUUGCAAUAAAUUCUGAAGUAUCAAA